UUUACAGCAUUAAAUGAUGACACUCGUGUCAUGUGUCAUGGAAUUGUUUUAGCAAAAAUAUGAUUUAAAAGUCGGUGGAUGAAAUUUGGCUGAACUGACAAGAAACAAUUAAGACAAUAUUUGAGCAAUACGUUCAUAAAGGAAUUAGCUGCACUUUGUUCUUAAUAAAUAAUGAAAGUAAAUAGAGCAAAAAUAUAUUUAAAAAUUCAGAGACUAAAAUCUUCUUUAUUGUCUAAAGUGUAAUUCGAUGAAGAAUUAAUAUGUUUUUGGUAUUGUUGAAAGGACUGCCUAGCUGUCAAUAACUUGAAAAUAAUGAAUAUUUUUAGAGAUACAUUUACAAACAGAAAGCAGUGAAAUGGUUUCAAUUUGAUAAACAAAGGUUGCCAAGAAUUUUACACAAGAC